GCGGGGCCUGUAGCAUGUCACUGCUCAGUCUCCCUGGAUUCAGUCCCUUUUUCCAGGGGUAUGUAAGGGGGUCUAGUGUUCUGCUUUGCCAGAGUUGCAUCUGCUUUUGACAGGAAGCCUGGGUACCUAAGUUUCCUGUGGCUCUGUCUGUGUCUGAGUGGCUGCUCUGCUGCGACUCCACAUAGCUCUGUGUGUCAGACUGAAGACCCUUGUGGAGUGGGUUCGUGAAG
rnacentral:lncRNA from 1 species